rnacentral:miRNA from 1 species
AUCCCAGGAGCAUCUGACUGUCACCACUGCCAGGGCAGCUGCUGGCCGUGGAACAGAGUCCUGGGCCCUGGGCCUUGGCUGCUGUCAACAGAUGGGCUGGGCUGGGCCAUGGUGGAGUGGGGACAACGUUGAUACCUCUGAGA